rnacentral:rRNA from 1 species
UACGUAGGGUGCAAGCGUUGUCCGGAAUUAUUGGGCGUAAAGAGCUUGUAGGCGGUUUGUCGCGUCUGCCGUGAAAAUUCGAGGCUCAACCUCGAACUUGCGGUGGGUACGGGCAGACUAGAGUGUGGUAGGGGAGAUUGGAAUUCCUGGUGUAGCGGUGGAAUGCGCAGAUAUCAGGAGGAACACCGGUGGCGAAGGCGGGUCUCUGGGCAGUAACUGACGUGAGGAGCGAAAGCGUGGGGAGCGAACAGG